AGUGAACGCUGGCGGUAGGCCUAACACAUGCAAGUCGAACGGCAGCACAGUAAGAGCUUGCUCUUACGGGUGGCGAGUGGCGGACGGGUGAGGAAUACAUCGGAAUCUACUUUUUCGUGGGGGAUAACGUAGGGAAACUUACGCUAAUACCGCAUACGACCUACGGGUGAAAGCAGGGGAUCUUCUGACCUUGCGCGAUUGAAUGAGCCGAUGUCGGAUUAGCUAGUUGGCGGGGUACAUGCCCACCAAGGCGACGAUCCGUAGCUGGUCUGAGAGGAUGAUCAGCCACGCUGGAACUGAGACCCGGUCCCGCCUCCUACGGACGGCCGCAGUGGGGACUUUUGGCCAAUGGGCGCAAGCCUGCUCCAGCCAUACCGCGUGGGUGAAGAAGGCCUUCGGGUUGUAAAGCCCUUUUGUUGGGAAAGAAAAGCAGCAGGUUAAUACCCCGCUGUUCUGACGGUACCCAAAGAAUAAGCACCGGCUAACUUCGU
rnacentral:rRNA from 1 species